ACUUUCAACAAACGGAUCUCUUUGACUCUCGCAUCGAUGAAAAACGAACCGAAUUGCCAUAAGUAAUGUGAAUUGCAGAAAUCCGUGAAAUCUCGAAAUUUUUAACCCAAAUUGCCCUCUUUGCCCCCCGGGGAAAAAUCCUGGUUUAGGGCUAAAAAU
rnacentral:rRNA from 1 species